GAUAUCUGUUUUAGACAAAUCAAGCUUGCGAUGGUGACAUAAACAAACAAACCGACCCCCGCUGCGAUAAAGUGCAGGAGUCGAGAGUCACUAGUAAGGGAUGAGUUUGAUCAGAAGCAGAGCUCUGGGACGUGUGGACAGACUUUCACUGUAAUGAUGGACAUCCGCUGAUGGACAGAAGUAUAACCCCUGCUGGACAUCGUGCCGGGGCUCGGGGGGGACCCGAAUCAUCCCCACUCCUUCAUUCACACAACACUCACUCAUAUCACAGAGAUCUGGCUGGGAUCAAACCAGCAACCUCUGAACCACGAGGCAGCGCUCUAACCUGUGAGCCACAGAUCUCUUGUCUGAACAUGUGAAGGC
rnacentral:lncRNA from 1 species